rnacentral:sRNA from 1 species
UGUUGGCCGUAAGGGCCUGGGAUACCCGG